UGGGGAAUAUUGCACAAUGGAGGAAACUCUGAUGCAGCAACGCCGCGUGGAGGAUGACACAUUUCGGUGCGUAAACUCCUUUUAUAUGAGAAGAUAAUGACGGUAUCAUAUGAAUAAGCACCGGCUAACUCCGUGCCAGCAGCCGCGGUAAUACGGGGGGUGCAAGCGUUACUCGGAAUCACUGGGCGUAAAGAGCAUGUAGGCGGAUAGAUAAGUUGGAAGUGAAAUCCUAUGGCUUAACCAUAGAACUGCUUCCAAAACUGUCUAUCUAGAAUAUGGGAGAGGUAGAUGGAAUUUCUGGUGUAGGGGUAAAAUCCGUAGAGAUCAGAAGGAAUACCGAUUGCGAAGGCGAUCUACUGGAACAUUAUUGACGCUCAGAUGCGAAAGCGUGGGGAGCAAACAGGAUUAGAUACCCU
rnacentral:rRNA from 1 species